GAUACCCUAUUAUUAAGAAAAAUUAUAUUGUUAGUAUAUAAAUUGUAUGAAAACAAAAAAUUAUGGCGGUAUUUUAAGCUUUUCAGAGGAAUUUGCUCUUUAAUGGAUAAAACACCUAAAUCUUACUAAAUUUAGUUAAGCAGUUUGUAUACCACUAUUUAAGUAAUAAUUUGCUAUUAUUACUAAAAUUUAUAUUAAUUAAAAAAAGUUAAGUCAAGGUGCAGCAUAAAUUUUAGUAUGAAGUGAAUUACAUUUCUUUUAAGAAAAAUUUGUUGAAAAUAAAAUUUAGGAUUUGAAAGUAAAAUUUUAAUAGAAGGAAAAUUUGAAUUAAGCUCUAAAAUAUGUACACAUCGC
rnacentral:rRNA from 1 species